UCAGAUGGCUGGAUGGCCGCUGCCAUGGAACGUCGUUUCCACGGGAGAGGAAAGUCCGGGCUCCACGGGGAUACGGUGCCGGGUAACGCCCGGCGAGGGUGACCUCAGGGAAAGUGCCGCAGAAAGCAAACCGCCGACGCGCCGUUGUGCGCGGGUAAGGGUGAAAGGGUGCGGUAAGAGCGCACCGCGCUGCCGGUAACGGGAGCGGCAGGGUAAACCCCACCGGGAGCAAGACCAAAUAGGGGCGGCAGACCGGUUUUCCGGCAGGUUUCAUCCCCGGACCCGCUGCCCGGGUAGGUCGCGCGAGGUGCCCGGCGACGGGCAUCCUAGAUGAAUGGCCAUCCCCCGCUGACUUCAGCGGGGUCAGAACCCGGCUUACAGGCCAUCUGACCAA
rnacentral:RNase_P_RNA from 1 species